UGUGUGUGUGCGCUGCGUGGUGACGUAGGCGCGUGCAUGUGUGCCCCGGUCACAGCUCCUUUCAGCAUGGCCGGAGGAGAGGUGUACUGGCAGUCGCGUGACACACACAGAUCAGACACAUAUUUCUGUGUUGCAGAUGUGCAGUAAAGAGCCAAAGACCCAGUACUGUCUCCUGCCUCUUACUUUCACACCAGAACACAACGCAAGAACAACAGGCGUAACACAUGAACGGGUUACACAUACUGAGGUGAGUUGUUGAGGAUAUGUCGAGCUGUCGAUAAGCACGGCUGUUUCUGUGCUCUUAUAUACUGUUAGCCUGUUUUGCUGGCGUUAGUGAAGCUGUUUUCAACUGGAUGUAACAUUGUUGAACUCUGAUGAUUAAUGAAUAAACUCUCGAUGUGACGAUGUGAGCAUGUAAUUGUAACCCUGUGUUCAUUUAGUCGUUUGAUACCGUUUAAUAUCCAGUACAUCUAUUGGGUGUUUUAUAACAUGCCCUGGAAUCAUUUUAAGUUUUACAAUGCCGGUGAUUUACGACUCUUUCGCGACAGUCAACUGUGGCGUAAACUCUGGCGGGUCUCAGAGCUAGCUUAUGUGAGCCAGCAGUGACAUCUAUACAUGCAGUAGCCUUAAAAUACUGAUUAUUUAUUCUCCUGCUAGGUAAGAAUUUGUGUUUUAUACGUUUAUUGUCACAUUGUGCGCCAUGUUAUUGUUUCGGUGAAAUGAAUUUCUACAAUGGCGGACUUAGACAAAAUAGUGUUACUGUUAAUUUGACUCUCUGCAGUGUUUAAAUGCUUACACAUACACACACAGUUACUGUCCCUCCACACGUAUCAGUUCUGCUUCUAUGCCCCAUCUUUGUUUACUCUUUCCCACCCAACAAGUGCAUAAAUAAGAUGUUAAAAACGUCAUCAUCAUAUCAAACAUGAUCGAUUUGGGGGGAGUUUGUUUGGCACAUGCUGACUGCAUCCUAAUUAUAACCAGAAGAGGAGGCGAGAGCAGAGAACGAGAGUGCAGCAGUUUGGUGAAAGGAACAGGUGAAGAAGAGGUGAGCAUCCAAGAGACGAGCAAGAGGACGGUUUCAAAGCAGACAUUAUGGCACAAUAAAAGCUGUAAGAGCAGAGAUUCAUUCAUGUCUUUACUAUUUUUCUUUAGCUUCUACUCCCGCUGCUUACAAUAAAUCUGAGAUAAAGAACAAACAAGAACAACUCACAUGGCAUUGAUUGUUUAGUUCAGUGUCACUCUGUGAUUGUUUGACAUUUCAUAUAAAUGUGACUCUAAACUAUAGCCAAUAAUAUUAAAAAGCUGCUGUUACUGAGUGAAACUUGAAGGAUUAUGAUAAACUUCAAUUCUUACUGAAUCUGUAACAUUGCUUUUUUUAAAAUUGUUAAAUGACUUUUGUGUCACUGUGCACAGUGAAAAGCUCACCUGAUGUAGUGGUGAGGCCAUGUUCACCACUAGAUGGAGACAACCUGGCACAGGUAUUUUCUAUACACUAAAUUUCACACUGAAAAGCCUUGGUGGGAAUUUUUGUUUCAUAGAAAGUAAAGGAAAACAUGUCUUGAGGUCUUUUUCCUGUGUUUUCAAAAUUGUGUUUUUCACAUACACAU